CCAAAAGUAGCGACAGUUGCCA
rnacentral:siRNA from 1 species